rnacentral:rRNA from 1 species
UACGUAGGGGGCAAGCGUUAUCCGGAUUUACUGGGUGUAAAGGGGGCGCAGACGGCGAUGCAAGCCAGGAGCGAAAGCCCGGGGCCCAACCCCGGGACUGCUCUUGGAACUGCGUGGCUGGAGUGCAGGAGGGGCAGGCGGAAUUCCUGGUGUAGCGGUGAAAUGCGUAGAUAUCAGGAGGAACACCGGUGGCGAAGGCGGCCUGCUGGACUGCAACUGACGUUGAGGCCCGAAAGCGUGGGGAGCAAACAGG